GACGAACGCUGGCGGCGUGCCUAAUACAUGCAAGUCGAGCGGACGGAUGGGAGCUUGCUCCCAGACCGUCAGCGGCGGACGGGUGAGUAACACGUGGGCAACCUGCCUGUAAGACUGGGAUAACUCCGGGAAACCGGGGCUAAUACCGGAUAACUCUUUCCCUCACAUGAGGGAAAGCUGAAAGAUGGCAUCUCGCUAUCACUUACAGAUGGGCCCGCGGCGCAUUAGCUAGUUGGUGAGGUAACGGCUCACCAAGGCGACGAUGCGUAGCCGACCUGAGAGGGUGAUCGGCCACACUGGGACUGAGACACGGCCCAGACUCCUACGGGAGGCAGCAGUAGGGAAUCUUCCGCAAUGGACGAAAGUCUGACGGAGCAACGCCGCGUGAGUGAUGAAGGUUUUCGGAUCGUAAAACUCUGUUGUCAGGGAAGAACAAGUACCGGAGUAACUGCCGGUACCUUGACGGUACCUGACCAGAAAGCCACGGCUAGCUACGUG
rnacentral:rRNA from 1 species